GGCUAGAGCUCAGUGGUAGAGCAUCUGUUUUGCAAACAAAAGAUCCCAGGUUUGAUUCUGAACUUCUCCAGGUUGGGCUG